rnacentral:rRNA from 1 species
AGAAUCAACGCUGGCGGCGUGCCUAACACAUGCAAGUCGAACGAGAAAGUGGAGCAAUCCAUGAGUAAAGUGGCGACCGGGUGAGUAACACGUGACUAACCUACCUUUGAGUGGGGGAUAACAUCGGGAAACCGAUGCUAAUACCGCAUAACAUCGCAAGAUCAAAGCAGCAAUGCGCUUAAAAGAGGGGGUCGCGGCUGAUUAGCUAGUUGGCGGGGUAACGCCCACCAAGGCGAAGAUCGGUA